UCUCUGUUUUUCCUUUUUCUUUCUUUUCUCUUCCCUUUUUUUCCAUUCGACUCUUUCCUUGCCUCUUUUCUCUACUUCCUGUGCCCUUACCCCUCAAAACCCUAGCUCUAUCCCCUUUCUUACAAUUUCGACCCAAAAAUUAAUAAAAAAUCUCAUGGGGAGAAGCCGAUAGCCAUGAACAUUGCAGAUUCUAGGGACCAAGCCCUUUCUCUGCUCACUAUCGCACUCAACCACUCUGUUUUGGCGAUGAAGCUUUCGUCUCUUAAAUAGGCCAAGGACAUUCUUUCCUCUCUCAAUUCUUCUUCCACCGCCGAACUCUUCCCCUACCUUUCCGACCUCCAACUUUCUCUUCAUAGCCUCGUUAGGGAAUUCCUGUUGAAAACAUGAAACAUAAUGAUCUCAUGGUCUUAUUUUUUUGACAGAAACAUGAAGUUGAAAGAUUGCAGGCGUCAACCCUUUGAUGGGAGAACUUCGAAAUUUAAGUUCAAAUCAGAUUGUUUUACUUGACCACUGUCAAGAACUUGUAUCAACAAUUGUAGCUAUGCAGGAGAUUCAAAAGAUUGUAGUCUUCGAAUGUGCAUUUGAAAAAAAAAUAGUAUCAUGAAGGAGGAAGGAGGUUUUGAUGGGGGUGUGGUUGUGCAAGUGGGUCAUCAGAUUUAAUUUUGGACCUCAAUGAACUUGUUCUGGCUUGUUUGCUGUUAGAACAAUUAUUUUAUUUUCCUUUUUUUUUUGUAAAUUCUUUUUACAAUGUCUGUGGCUUUUUUAGCUAAGUCAUGUGUUAGUGUAUUUUGAUUGUUGGAUCGAUUUUUGUAAUGAAUAUUCAAGCUUUAUUUUAAUUUUAAUUUUAUAUUUUUAGUCGUA